UACGAAGGGGCUAGCGUUGCUCGGAAUUACUGGGCGUAAAGGGCGCGUAGGCGGAUAGUUUAGUCAGAGGUAAAAGCCCAGGGCUCAACCUUGGAACUGCCUUUGAUACUGGCUAUCUUGAGUUCGGGAGAGGUGAGUGGAAUGCCGAGUGUAGAGGUGAAAUUCGUAGAUAUUCGGCGGAACACCAGUGGCGAAGGCGACUCACUGGCCCGAUACUGACGCUGAGGCGCGAAAAGCGUGGGGAGCAAACAGGG
rnacentral:rRNA from 1 species